rnacentral:rRNA from 1 species
GAAGGUGUGCUGUGAGGCAUGCUGGAGGUAUCAGAAGUGCGAAUGCUGACAUAAGUAACGAUAAAGCGGGUGAAAAGCCCGCUCGCCGGAAGACCAAGGGUUCCUGUCCAACGUUAAUCGGGGCAGGGUGAGUCGACCCCUAAGGCGAGGCCGAAAGGCGUAGUCGAUGGGAAACAGGUUAAUAUUCCUGUACUUGGUGUUACUGCGAAGGGGGGACGGAGAAGGCUAUGUUGGCCGGGCGACGGUUGUCCCGGUUUAAGCGUGUAGGCUGGUUUUCCAGGCAAAUCCGGAAAACUAAGGCUGAGGCGUGAUGACGAGGCACUACGGUGCUGAAGCAACAAAUGCCCUGCUUCCAGGAAAAGCCUCUAAGCAUCAGGUAACAUCAAAUCGUACCCCAAACCGACACAGGUGGUCAGGUAGAGAAUACCAAGGCGCUUGAGAGAACUCGGGUGAAGGAACUAGGCAAAAUGGUGCCGUAACUUCGGGAGAAGGCACGCUGAUAUGUAGGUGAAGCGACUUGCUCGUGGAGCUGAAAUCAGUCGAAGAUACCAGCUGGCUGCAACUGUUUAUUAAAAACACAGCACUGUGCAAACACGAAAGUGGACGUAUACGGUGUGACGCCUGCCCGGUGCCGGAAGGUUAAUUGAUGGGGUCAGCGCAAGCGAAGCUCUUGAUCGAAGCCCCGGUAAACGGCGGCCGUAACUAUAACGGUCCUAAGGUAGCGAAAUUCCUUGUCGGGUAAGUUCCGACCUGCACGAAUGGCGUAAUGAUGGCCAGGCUGUCUCCACCCGAGACUCAGUGAAAUUGAACUCGCUGUGAAGAUGCAGUGUACCCGCGGCAAGACGGAAAGACCCCGUGAACCUUUACUAUAGCUUGACACUGAACAUUGAGCCUUGAUGUGUAGGAUAGGUGGGAGGCUUUGAAGUGUGGACGCCAGUCUGCAUGGAGCCGACCUUGAAAUACCACCCUUUAAUGUUUGAUGUUCUAACGUUGACCCGUGAUCCGGGUUGCGGACAGUGUCUGGUGGGUAGUUUGACUGGGGCGGUCUCCUCCUAAAGAGUAACGGAGGAGCACGAAGGUUGGCUAAUCCUGGUCGGACAUCAGGAGGUUAGUGCAAUGGCAUAAGCCAGCUUGACUGCGAGCGUGACGGCGCGAGCAGGUGCGAAAGCAGGUCAUAGUGAUCCGGUGGUUCUGAAUGGAAGGGCCAUCGCUCAACGGAUAAAAGGUACUCCGGGGAUAACAGGCUGAUACCGCCCAAGAGUUCAUAUCGACGGCGGUGUUUGGCACCUCGAUGUCGGCUCAUCACAUCCUGGGGCUGAAGUAGGUCCCAAGGGUAUGGCUGUUCGCCAUUUAAAGUGGUACGCGAGCUGGGUUUAGAACGUCGUGAGACAGUUCGGUCCCUAUCUGCCGUGGGCGCUGGAGAACUGAGGGGGGCUGCUCCUAGUACGAGAGGACCGGAGUGGACGCAUCACUGGUGUUCGGGUUGUCAUGCCAAUGGCACUGCCCGGUAGCUAAAUGCGGAAGAGAUAAGUGCUGAAAGCAUCUAAGCACGAAACUUGCCCCGAGAUGAGUUCUCCCUGACUCCUUGAGAGUCCUGAAGGAACGUUGAAGACGACGACGUUGAUAGGCCGGGUGUGUAAGCGCAGCGAUGCGUUGAGCUAACCGGUACUAAUGAACCGUGAGGCUUAACCUUACAAC